rnacentral:tRNA from 1 species
CGGGGCGUAGCUCAGCCUGGUAGAGCGCCCGCUUUGGGAGCGGGAGGCCGACAGUUCAAGUCUGUCCGCCCCGA